UCAAAGGAAUUGACGGGGACCCGCACAAGCGGUGGAUGAUGUGGAUUAAUUCGAUGCAACGCGAAAAACCUUACCUACCCUUGACAUGUCUGGAAUUCCGAAGAGAUUUGGAAGUGCUCGCAAGAGAACCGGAACACAGGUGCUGCAUGGCUGUCGUCAGCUCGUGUCGUGAGAUGUUGGGUUAAGUCCCGCAACGAGCGCAACCCUUGUCAUUAGUUGCUACGAAAGGGCACUCUAAUGAGACUGCCGGUGACAAACCGGAGGAAGGUGGGGAUGACGUCAAGUCCUCAUGGCCCUUAUGGGUAGGGCUUCACACGUCAUACAAUGGUCGGGACAGAGGGUCGCCAACCCGCGAGGGGGAGCCAAUCCCAGAAACCCGAUCGUAGUCCGGAUCGCAGUCUGCAACUCGACUGCGUGAAGUCGGAAUCGCUAGUAAUCGCGGAUCAGCAUGUCGCGGUGAAUACGUUCCCGGGUCUUGUACACACCGCCCGUCACACCAUGGGAGUGGGUUUUACCAGAAGUAGUUAGCCUAACCGUAAGGGGGGCGAUUACCACGGUAGGAUUCAUGACUGGGGUGAAGUCGUAACAAGUAAACC
rnacentral:rRNA from 1 species